GCUGUGAUAUUGCUACAUGAAGCCCUAGGACUGUGCUGUUAAUAAUUGUAAUGCUCUGAGCCAUUACUGUAGAGGUUGUAGAAAAAGUCUACAUUUAUUAGAAAAUAUUAAGUCCCAUUGUGGGUAACUGAGGACUUGACAGUUUCUGGAAAACAGCAACAAGUAAACUUUAAGAAUGCAGACACUCAGUAGUGACAAAGAAUAGACACUUAGCAGAAAGGCUUGGGUAUUGUGCUAUGGCUCUAAAUGCUAGACAUAAAAAAUCGUCUUUGGGAAAGAAAAACCUUUUCUAGCUGAAUUUUUGUGAAAAAUCUGAAUAGGGGACUUUAAUUAAAAGCUGUAUGUAGUAGAAGCACAAUCCUAUUGACGCUUAAUAUCAGUGACCUUCAUCAGAGAAAAGGUAAGAUGGCUUUGUACAGAUGCCAUAUGUCAAUCUCUGCAGCCUUUUGUGCUUGAGUUUCUACCUGUCAUUUUGAAUCUGUGCUAACAUGACACAGCAACAACCAAAACACUUUAUUUUAUUUUAAAUAACCUCAGGUAGUACAAAAAUCUAUUCACAGGAGCUAAAAAUCUUAUAACUUUGUGCUGUAUGUAUACAUCUAUGUAUAUAUCCAGGUUUCACAUUUAACAGUAACUCAGGAUUUUCAAAGUGACACAGUUAUCAGAGAGGGGUUUUGCGGUAUCUUGCCUAAUGAUAGUAUGAUAAUCUAUUCAAGAGCUAGAAAUGGCCCCAAAGAAACUAUUACAGUGCAAUAAUGGACUGGAAAAGAUAUAAUCAGAGCCCAUAGAACUGGGAAGGAGGCUUCAAACAGAAGUGUUUUAGCAGUGAUUGUUCCCAGCAGAACUAUGAAGCCUGUCUGGCUACACUCUGUUGAGGAGGAGUCUGAGAGGCACAAAUAUUCAUGAACUUGGAUGGCAGCUGAGCAGCAGGUUUCUGAGCUCCUGAGGGAACCUGAGAAGCACAAACUGCAAAAAAUCACCCGGAGUGAAAUUAAAGGCAGUGACACUGGAGAUGUCAUGAGACCACAGACACCACUGAACUUCCUGAGAAGCCAACAUCAGGCAGACAUCCUACUGUAGGUACGGCAAUAAACUUUCCAUUUGGCAUUCCUGUGCA
rnacentral:lncRNA from 1 species